rnacentral:rRNA from 1 species
UACGAAGGGGGCUAGCGUUGCUCGGAAUCACUGGGCGUAAAGGGCGCGUAGGCGGCCGAUCAAGUCGGGGGUGAAAGCCUGUGGCUCAACCACAGAAUUGCCUUCGAUACUGUUUGGCUUGAGACCGGAAGAGGUUAGUGGAACUGCGAGUGUAGAGGUGAAAUUCGUAGAUAUUCGCAAGAACACCAGUGGCGAAGGCGGCUGACUGGUCCGGUUCUGACGCUGAGGUGCGAAAGCGUGGGGAGCAAACAGG